rnacentral:rRNA from 1 species
GUAGGGAAUAUUGGGCAAUGGAUGCAAGUCUGACCCAGCCAUCCCGCGUGCCGGAAGAAGGCCCUCAGGGUUGUAAACGGCUUUUGACGGUGAAGAAUCGACAGGAUGCGUCCUGUUUUGACGGUAGCCGUUGAAUAAGCACCGGCUAACUCCGUGCCAGCAGCCGCGGUAAUACGGAGGGUGCGAGCGUUGUCCGGAUUUAUUGGGUUUAAAGGGUGCGUAGGCUGGAAGGUCAGUCAGCGGUGAAAAGCUGUCGCUUAACGAUAGUCUUGGCGCAGAUACUUCCUUUCUUGGAUGAGGAGGAGGCCACUGGAACGGAUGGUGUAGCGGUGAAAUGCAUAGAUAUCAUCCAGAACACCGAUUGCGAAGGCAGGUGGCUGUACCUUAAUCGACGCUGAUGCACGAAAGCAUGGGGAGCAAACAGGAUUAGAAACCCCAGUAGUCC